GCGAAGCGCCGCAUCCCUCCUCCCCUCUCCACUCCCGGCGCAGCCGCCGGAUCCAUCCACGCCCUCCACCUCUUUCCCCGGCCCCUCUGCCUCCCCCCACCAUGAGAGAGAGGGAUUGACUGCCCCACCAUGAGAGAAGGAGAGGGAUGGACAAAUAGGAGACAGGGGCAUGAGGAGAAGAGGAAGGAGACGGGGGCAGGAGGAGAAGAGGAAGGAGAGGCCCUGCUCCGCCCCCCCCCCCCCCCGCCUCGAACCAGCCGUUGCCAUGGAGAAGGACGACCAAUAGGGGAGGCCGGAGGUGGAGGGAGGAGCGACGGGGACAUUGACUCCCCCACCAUGAGAGAAGGAGAGGGAUGGACAAAUAGGAGACGGGGGCAGGGGGAGAAGAGGAAGGAGAGGCCCUGCUCCGCCCCCCCGCCUCGAACCAGCCGUUGCCAUGGAGAAGGACGGCCAAUAGGGGAGGCCGACGGUGGAGGGAGGAGCGACGGGGACAUUGACUCCCCCACCAUGAGAGAAGGAGAGGGAUGGACAAAUAGGAGACAGGGGCAUGAGGAGAAGAGGAAGGAGACGGGGGCAGGAGGAGAAGAGGAAGGAGAGGCCCUGCUCCGCUCCCCCGCCUCGAACCAGCCAUUGCCAUGGAGAAGGACGUCCAGUAGGGGAGGCCGGCGAUGGAGGGAGGAGCGGCGGGGACAGAAGCACCGGCCAUCGGGGACCUCUCGAGCCGUCGAGCGCGACCUUGAUCUGGUGUAGGGGAGCAGUAACCGCAGGGGGCUCCAACCUCUUCUUCGCGGGAGGCGGCAGGCGCAGCUCCUCCUCUCUCCCCCCACACGACAGCGACCCCAACCCCCACCCCAGCCUUGUUUGGAGGAUAUCGUCAGAAUCAGCUUCCUUGAUAAUUAUGUCAAAAUUUCUGGGAUUUGUGAUUCUUAUCGAAUUAAGAGAUCAUCUGUUAGCCUGUCCCUAUUUAUGAUUUCAGAUUAUUUUGGUGCACUUCAGUUUCAGAAAUCCGAUCCGUCACCCCUACUCUGACCUCGAUGGACUAUUGUUGUCGUUGUCCUCUGCCUUGCCCAGGACAAUGAUGGCCGGGUGAGCCAGAGACAAGCUGAGGAUCAACUAGCAGUUCUUCCCAACGACAAGACCACAACAGCAACAGAUGAUGUUGUAUCUCACACAAAGGAAGAGAGAAUAGAACUUGAUGUCAACGACCCUAGAGGUAUGGAAAUAAAAACACCAGAGUGAAACUCCAGAGGUAUGGCAUCUCAUGAUUUCAUACCCUUAUGUUCUUGCCAACAUUUACAUGUUAUUUUGUUCUUUGCUUACCAAAACUCAGAAGUACUUUAUCUUGGUUGACAUUAUGAUUGAUUCUGUGUACACUGAGAUACUACCGAGUCUCAAACCAGAGCUGGACAUCUCAUAUCUGUACAUCAGAAUCACUGUUGGGUCCAUGGAAGCUUGCCUAGCCGCUACUGUGCCACGUUGUAUAGAUACUGAACUUGAUUUCCUUGGUUUAUGUAACUAUUGAAGAUGUUAUAUGCGCAUACUCCUACAGCAUAGGCACUAAUGUUGUUUGAGUGCCUUUAGUAAAUUACUACAUUUUUAGUGAGGUUGGCUAAAUGUUUUUCUGCUAUUAACAUCUAUCAUUGCCCUACAUCUUGUCAGCUCUGCAUCCAGAGCAACGAUGCCGGCACACACGCCAGUUCUUUGUUCAUCUCAGUCGGCGAUUAUUUCAUUUUGUCUACGGCGAUGGGGUAGCUUCCUCUGCUCCGUUCGUGUGUUUGACGGACAACGUACUGGUCUGAAGGAAAGCCUUUUUUAUUUUUCAAGAUGAUGAACUGCAUUAUUUCUGGUCCUACUCUGCCUCUCAAUCAUUUCUUUAAACCAAGUUGAUGACCGAGCAAAUGCACUUCACAGAAGGAGAACGGACAGCCUUAGAUAACAUUGACUGUUCUUUUUGGAGCUCCUACAAAAUGAAGACAUCAUUAAAUCAAUCGUUGUUUUGUUCGACGUUGAAGAUGUCAGCUAAGAGGAUUUUGAGUACUAUUCUGCUCAUUCCAAAAGUAUGCAAGCCACACGAGGAGUGAUAUGAGAAAGAUGCUCUCAAACCGGAUCUCGGUAGUGAGAUGCAUGGAAGAGGAAAUCUAAGAUUAACCUAAACAAAAACUGCAUGUAGUGUAUAACGACUGCGACUGUCCAAGAUUGCAGUCUCUUCCAGAAUUUCAAUUGGUAAAAGCUCAUCCAUAAGAAAUGUGUAGCAGGGUAAAAGUCUGAUAUCUAUUGGUGAGCAGGCACUUUAUUUAUGAAGCAGAGAAAGCGAUCUAGCAUUUUAUUUGUGAAGAAGAGAAAGUGUAAGAAGGCAAGUGAGGUAUAUGUGCUCAAAAAGACACGCCAUCAAAUGUUUCCAUGUUAUUGCUGAACAUUUUUUGGUCUUUAUCCAACUGGUUUUUAUCAUAUCAAAUUACUGCAGAGCGUACUGAUUUUUUUGUCACCUAGCAACGGUGCCUUUCAGUUCAACUAGCAGUUUAAACCUCUGAAGGUUUAAGGUGAACAAUGAGAUAUUUUUGGGUUUGUUUGAA